rnacentral:tRNA from 1 species
GGCCUCGUAGCUCAACUGAAUAGAGUACUUGAUUACGGCUCAAGAGGUUCUAGGUUUGAAUCCUAGCGAGGUCACUA